rnacentral:rRNA from 1 species
AUACGGAGGGUGCAAGCGUUAUCCGGAUUUAUUGGGUUUAAAGGGUGCGCAGGCGGACCAAUAAGUCAGUGGUGAAAUCCCGGGGCUCAACCCCGGAACUGCCAUUGAUACUGCUGGUCUUGAAUACGGUUGAAGUAGGCGGAAUGUAGCAUGUAGCGGUGAAAUGCAUAGAGAUGCUACAGAACACCGAUCGCGAAGGCAGCUUACUAAGCCGAUAUUGACGCUCAGGCACGAAAGCGUGGGUAGCAAACAGGAUUAGAUACCCGUGUAGUCC